CCCUUAGAUGUCCUGGGCCGCACGCGCGUUACACUGAUGCAUUCAACGAGCUUAUAACCUUGGCCGAGAGGCCUGGGCAAUCUUGUUAACGUGCAUCGUGAUAGGGAUAGAUUAUUGAAAUUAUUAAUCUUGAACGAGGAAUUCCUAGUAAACGCAGAUCAUCAAUCUGCAUUGAUUACGUCCCUGCCCUUUGUACACACCGCCCGUCGCUCCUACCGAUUGAAUGUUCCGGUGAACACUUUGGAAUAGUGCCUUUGUAUGGGGAAACUUGUACUUGGAUACUGUAAAGUUGUGUAAACCUUAACAUUUAGAGGAAGGAGAAGUCGUAACA
rnacentral:rRNA from 1 species